rnacentral:rRNA from 1 species
UACAGAGGUCUCAAGCGUUGUUCGGAUUCAUUGGGCGUAAAGGGUGCGUAGGUGGCGCCGUAAGUCAGGUGUGAAAUCUCGGAGCUACACUCGAAACUGCACUUGAUACUGCGGUGCUCGAGUACUGGAGAGGAGAUUGGAAUUUACGGUGUAGCAGUGAAAUGCGUAGAUAUCGUAAGGAAGACCAGUGGCGAAGGCGAAUCUCUGGACAGUUACUGACACUG